UCCAAAAGCGCUAUUAUUCUUAGAUAGCACUUUCCAGUGAAAAAAAACACUAUGCUUCAAAAAAAAUAAACUAAAUAUUUUACGCAUCGUUCUUAAAAUCGCAGAUCUAACUUCAUUCCUUAAAAAAACCUGAAUCCUCCAUAUCGUUCCAUCGCUCUCCACUCUCAGAUCUCAAUCUCGUUGAACCUCCAUCUCCUUUGUUUUGGGCCAACACUCUCAUAUUUCAACCUCAAUCUGCGCCGAACCCUAAAUCUCGUUCUAGCAAGAAAGGCCAAGAAUCAAUAUACAUGGAAAGAGCAAUUAAGAGGUCAGUCAUGAACUCCAUAGAUUAUUUUGAUUUUGACGAAUCCGCCGAUCUCACUGCUCUUUAUGAUAAGCACACUAAAUAGUUGAAAUCACUCCCUAAGCUUGAUUCCAGCAUAUACAAGGGAACUUUCAAUUUCAAGCCUGGACAUGUACAAGGUGAGUGCCCAACAUUUUGAUUGGUUUUAUUUGUUAAUUUGAUUGAUGAUGAUUGUUAACAUUAGUAAGUAUUUUGAUUGAUGACUGUAUUGUGCUGGCAUUAUAUUAAGGGACGAAAUUUGAACAACAAUCAAGGUAAUUUUAAUUGUAUUUGUCACUAUUGUACUUAACUUUAGUCUACGAGUAUGAACUCAAAAUAUAGGAAAAUUUAGAAAUUGGAAAUCUACUAAACCAGACACUGGUCAAGAGAAACCAAACACCAUCUUCAAAUCCACUUUCUCUUGUUGGUUCAAAAGUUUCCUACAUUGAAAGCUUAGUCUAUGAGUAUGAACUCAAAAUAUAGGAAACUUUUAUGCAAAAUCAACCACUAAGUCUCAUUUUUUAUACUUUGUUUAUUUGUGUAGGAUACAUGACAAUGAUUUGUUGCUGGGCAGGUUUAUGGUUUGUUUUCAGCAUAAUGCAUUUGUCCGCGUGCUGCUUUUUGUGCUUGGCUGAAGCGAUAUUUGUUGUUAUUGAUUUUGCUCUAUGAGGGGUUGUUCUUGUGGACGAGUGCAUUUGUGUAAUUGAUGCAAAUGGAUGGUAAGCUGGUUUGUUUCAAUUUCUCACACUGAUUUCUAGUUUUCAUGAAUUUUUCUUUGCAUUGUUCUUAUCUUUUUUGAGCUUUUUAUGUCACAUACUUCAGGAACUGUUUGAUAAUUUUGGGGGAUCAAAAUGUUUUAUAACAUUAUUAACAACUUAUACAUCUUUUUAUUUAUAUGCAGUUUGUGUUUUACUAUAUAUUAGAACCCACAUGAGAUCAAAGUUCAAAGCAACUGAUACAUUAUUAGCCUUUAGUUCAUGUAUUCAAAUAAAUAGCCUCUAGGUCCCCUUGACUUAAACAUAUAUGGUCAAUAACUGUGUUCAGGUUCACCUCUAUUAUUGGAAUUGGGUGAUUUUAUGAUUUUGUUCAUUUUUCUGCAUUUAGGUAUCAAUCAUAGGAAAAUGGAUAUUAUGUUUUAAUUUGUAUGAAUAAGUUGGCAUAGUUGAUCAUGAUAUUAGUAGUCAAGCUUGUUUCUUGUAUAUGCAUGUCCUUAUUGAUGUAUUAUUCCAUGUCCAAAUUCUUUUGACUUGAUCUCUGUUGAGAAUUGGCGUAUGAUGUGCUAGUGAAUGAGUAAAUUGAUCUGCAGUCACGAGAGAAUCACAAAUUGUAGAUGUUACACAUUGGUAGAGUUAAAGAAUGAUAUUGCUCUUGAUCUUAAAGAAGAUGACAUCUCAUUUUGCACACUGAUUUUGAGGGACUUCUUGAAAACAUGAAAGAUGCUUGCUUGGUUUGGCAAUUGGCAGAGGAUUUGCUUAGGUUGAUUGGUUUGUCUUGUUAUAAUUAGUGUCAUGAACAUCAUCUAGGGGAUUAGGAUAAUUAGUUUGUUUUUGUCUUGGACACAAUAUUGUCAUGCUUCUUUGUUUGUUUUGUGAAGGAUGGGAGACUCAUGUAAUUUGAUGGUACUUAUUGACCUUCUUUGUGCCUUUUUAUAUCUUUAUUAAUAUAGUUUUUGCCUUUUGACCUUUGUA